UACGAAGGGGGCUAGCGUUGUUCGGAAUCACUGGGCGUAAAGCGCACGUAGGCGGAUUUUUAAGUCAGGGGUGAAAUCCCGAGGCUCAACCUCGGAACUGCCUUUGAUACUGGAAAUCUCGAGUCCGGAAGAGGUAAGUGGAACUGCGAGUGUAGAGGUGAAAUUCGUAGAUAUUCGCAAGAACACCAGUGGCGAAGGCGGCUCACUGGCCCGGUACUGACGCUGAGGUGCGAAAGCGUGGGGAGCAAACAGG
rnacentral:rRNA from 1 species